rnacentral:piRNA from 1 species
UAGAACUUUCUGUCCAUGACACUGACUGCA